UACGUAAGUGGCAAGCGUUGUCCGGAAUUAUUGGGCGUAAAGCGCGCGCAGGCGGUCCUUUAAGUCUGAUGUGAAAGCCCACGGCUCAACCGUGGAGGGUCAUUGGAAACUGGGGGACUUGAGUGCAGAAGAGGAAAGCGGAAUUCCACGUGUAGCGGUGAAAUGCGUAGAGAUGUGGAGGAACACCAGUGGCGAAGGCGGCUUUCUGGUCUGUAACUGACGCUGAGGCGCGAAAGCGUGGGGAGCAAACAGG
rnacentral:rRNA from 1 species